UUGAGCCACACAUUUUUAGCCCUGUUUUGCAUGUUAUUUUGGCAUUAAUACGUGUCACAUAUCAGUCUUGAGUAAGGCAGCUGCAAAAGAGUUCCCAGUUGUCUUGAAAGCACCCUAAAUCCAGAGAACACAGACUUUGAUGACAAAGUUUGCCCACGAAGGACAGCCGCACCACCUUCCAGUUCAAGUGAGUACAGCACAAGAAAAUGGACACAAUUCAAUGGAUAUCAAUCAACAAAGAGGUACACAGACAAGGAGACAUACAAAAGACUUCCCCCUCCCUACACCUCUGAUGAAUAUAACAGGAAACCUGUUCGAUCACCAUGCACUGGAAGAUCAUUCUGGCUGUGGAUACAGAGAACAUCAACACCCCAGAGGAUAUGUCCAUCGGACUUGGGGUUCUGCUGGGAGUUUACCUCAUAUUUGGAUUUUUUAAUUCUGCUUUGCCACUAAAAUCAUAAAACACUGAGAACUAAAAUAUUGUGUUAUUGUUGUUGUGCGUAUUAUUAAUAAUCAGGGAAGGGGAGGGUAGUUCAAAAAUAUACCUCAAAAGGUCAUUUGAUGAUCCAUUAAAAGGGUUUCUUUGAAGAACUUCUAGGGGUUCCCCCACAGUUCAAUUUGAAGAACCCCUAAAGGAUACGCCAGGAACCUUUUUUAGAGUGUACGAAGGUUCUAACAAUAAACGUAGCAUUAAGAUGCUUUUG